AUUGAACGCUGGCGGCAGGCCUAACACAUGCAAGUCGAGCGGGGUUUUCGGACCUAGCGGCGGACGGGUGAGUAAUGCGUAGGAAGCUGCCCGAUAGAGGGGGAUACCAGUUGGAAACGACUGUUAAUACCGCAUAAUGUCUACGGACCAAAGUGUGGGACCUUCGGGCCACAUGCUAUCGGAUGCGCCUACGUGGGAUUAGCUAGUUGGUGAGGUAAUGGCUCACCAAGGCGACGAUCUCUAGCUGGUUUGAGAGGAUGAUCAGCCACACUGGAACUGAGACACGGUCCAGACUCCUACGGGAGGCAGCAUGGGGGAAUAUUGGACAAUGGGGGCAAGCCUGAUCCAGCCAUGCCGCGUGUGUGAAGAAGGCCUUCGGGUUGUAAAGCACUUUCAGCGAGGAGGAAGGGGUUGUAGUUAAUAGCUGCAACCUUUGACGUUACUCGCAGAAGAAGCACCGGCUAACUCUGUGCCAGCCGCCGCCGUAACAC
rnacentral:rRNA from 1 species